rnacentral:rRNA from 1 species
AAUGAACGUUGGCGGCGUGGAUUAGGCAUGCAAGUCGCGCGACAAGGUCCGCAAGGACUGGAGGAGCGGCAAACGGGGUAGUAAGGCAUCGGAACGUACCCUCUAGUCGGGGAUAGCGGCGGGAAACUGCCGGUAAUACCCGAUGAUCUCUUCGGAGCAAAGGUCUGCCGCUGGAGGAGCGGCCGAUGUGGUAUCAGGUAGUUGGUAGGGUAAUGGCCUACCAAGCCUUACACGCCUAGGGGGUGUGAGAGCACCACCCCCACCACUGGGACUGAGAUACUGCCCAGACACCUACGGGUGGCUGCAGUCAAGAAUCUUCGGCAAUGGGCGCAAGCCUGACCGAGCGACGCCGCGUGCGGGAUGAACGCCCUUGGGUUGUAAACCGCUGUCAGGGGGGAGCAAGGCGCAAGCUUGAGCGAGCCCCAGAGGAAGCACGGGCUAAGUUCGUGCCAGCAGCCGCGGUAAUACGAACUGUGCGAACGUUAUUCAGAAUCACUGGGCUUACAGGGUGCGUA